CCUACGGGUGGCAGCAGUGGGGAAUAUUGCACAAUGGGGGAAACUCUGAUGCAGCGACGCCGCGUGAGUGAAGAAGUAUUUCGGUAUGUAAAGCUCUAUCAGCAGGGAGGAAAUAGCGACCUUUGGGUCGCCAGACGGUACCUGACUAAGCAGCCCCGGCUAACUACGUGCCAGCAGCCGCGGUAAUACGUAGGGGGCAAGCGUUAUCCGGAUUUAUUGGGUUGAAAGGGAGCGUAGACGGCAGCACAAGUCUGAAGUGAAAUGCCGGGGCUUAACCCCGGAACUGCUUUGGAAACUGUGCAGCUAGAGUGCAGGAGAGGUAAGUGGAAUUCCUAGUGUAGCGGUGAAAUGCGUAGAGAUUAGGAGGAACACCAGUGGCGAAGGCAGCUUACUGGACUGUAACUGACGUUGAGGCUCGAAAGCGUGGGGAGCAAACAGGAUUAGAUACCCCGGUAGUC
rnacentral:rRNA from 1 species